rnacentral:rRNA from 1 species
AUGGCUCAGGAUGAACGCUAGCUACAGGCUUAACACAUGCAAGUCGAGGGGCAGCAUGAAACUUAGCUUGCUAAGUUUGAUGGCGACCGGCGCACGGGUGAGUAACACGUAUCCAACCUACCGUUUACUACGGGAUAGCCUUCUGAAAAGGAGAUUAAUACCGUAUGGUAUUCUAAAGUUUCAUGACAUUAGAAUUAAAGGUUUACCGGUAAUCGAUGGGAUGCGUUCCAUUAGAUAGUAGGCGGGGUAACGGCCCACCUAGUCAGCGAUGGAUAGGGGUUCUGAGAGGAAGGUCCCCCACAUUGGAACUGAGACACGGUCCAAACUCCUACGGGGAGGCAGCAGUGAGGAAUAUUGGUCAAUGGGCGAGAGCCUGAACCAGCCAAGUAAGCGUGAAGGAUGACUGCCCUAUGGGUUGUAAACUUCUUUUAUAAAGGAAUAAAGUGGUCCACGUGUGGAUUUUUGUAUGUACUUUAUGAAUAAGGAUCGGCUAACUCCGUGCCAGCAGCCGC